AUCCCAAAUUAGCCCAUCUUAGGCUGCGCCUAAACUCCUUGAUUUGUGAUUACAUCUCAUUAAACUCGGAGGGAAUUCUUGGUCUUGUCCCCAAUUCAUUGAUACUGGUGUCUCCUACCAAAUAGAGGAAUCCUCACAACCCAGUGCCAGCUUCCAGCAGCAAUGAAUUUCAACCUCUGGAAUGCGUGGGUAUCUUGUAUGAGAGAUAACAAUUCAACAUAUUUUGGGGACUUCUGAGAUAUCAACGAAAGAGGUCCAGCAAAGCAAAUACCACUGAGAAGGUAAGGUCACCCAGUUCAAUGGGUUUUACUCCCCAGGGAAUGGGUCUAAGAUUGCAGACUAUAUGUUUGUGGAUGCAGAAGGGGGCAGGAGGAACAGUUAUUCUAAAAAGAUUAAUGGAACGGAGGGCAGAAGGGUUGAUCUUGUGUAGAUGACAUUGAAACCUCACUGAUGCUUGGCCUCAGUUGGCAACGCCUCUGUCAGAUUCUAAAAAGGGGAAAGUCCACAGGCUGGAAUAAAGCAGAAAGGGAUGAGCAGGGCUCUGAAAAUAUAGUCAUUUCUUCAUGGUUUCUCAUCCAGGCCAGAAAGAAGAAAAGAAAGAUGUUGAUAGGAUGAAACAGGCCAUCAAGUGAAAUCUAUCCUUUUUAAAUAAACGGAUUCCUCUGUAUUUUCCCAGGGUUGCUGUUAGUUGUUGUCUGCGAUGUUCCCCUGGGCUUUUCUCUCUGCUCUCUGAUUUGGUGUAUAAAAGCAGUCCUGAAUGAUGGAUUACAGUGUCAUUGCAGCCUGCAAAGGAUUAAUUUGUUUCAUUGAUUUCUCUUUAGGCAGAUUGCCAGAAUCAGCCGCUUCCCACCUUUCUCCAGACUUCCAGCAGUAAUAGACAGUAACAGCCUAAGACAAAUAAGCCAGUAUUUGUGUAAAAAUAGAAAGGCAGAACUCCACUGUGCUUUAGGCAAGAACGAUUCAGACUGAGGAAAGUAAUAGGUCCGGGAAUAUUUUGAAGAGGGUCGUUAAAUAAGUAAAUAAACAAUAAGAAAAAUCAGCGAAAAGGAAACAAGAGGCCUGAAUAUUUCCUGUAGUGAUUGAGAAGUAUAAGAAGGACUCAUUUCGGUGAGGAUUUUCAAAGGCCUCCUUCCCUAUCUUGAGCUGACAACUGAAAUGAGAGUUCACAGGGAGCACCCGAGCAUGUGCAGAAUGCCUUUCUUUUUCCCCGCAGGAGAGCUAGAAACAGAGGUAUUUGGCGAAGUUGCCUUCAGGGAAGGAAAAAAAGCUCUAUCAACCCUGCCACGGUAAUGAAUGGGGCCAGCCCUGCGGUUCACCCAGGAGUUGGGCAAGGCCAGUCCCAACUAAAGCUCUCUCCCCUGGUUGAUCUUGGCUUUAGAAAAACGAUCAAAAGGCGCUCUGCAGAACUCCAGGGGAAAAAAAAAAAAGGGAAAGAGGGAACUCGCUCUUUUUGUACUACGCGCCGGCCUAGAGCUAAUCUAUUGUCGAUCUGUCUCCCCGUCGGUCCGCGACGGUAUUGAUAGGCUGCGUCAGGCUUCGGCUUUCCUUCCUGCGCGCGUCGCAGCCAGCGAGCCCGUCGGAUCGAUUUGUCUGGGAGCGUUAAGAGGAACCCGCGCCGGGGCAGGCCGAGAGCGUCUGGAGAGCUUAUGUGGCGAAUGUGCCCCGCGGGAGAGUCGUAAACGUUAUACACAAUUCCUGUAAUGAUGGCCCAAGUCAGUAAGACCAUUUGGAUCCAUGGCUUGGAUUUCAUCCAAACAAGAAACCAGUUACAGCAUCUCCAUUCUGCCACAUUUCAACCCUCAGACUUUUAUAAGCAGCGUGGAGGCAUCCCUGAAUUUUAUCAGUUCUGAUGGCUUGAGAUGCUGAAAGUUGUUCCUACCCCUAGCAGCUGCCACUUCACCCAAAGCAGGAAGAAAAGAAAAUACUAUAUCCUAAUAAACUGACUAUUUUGCAGUCUCUCUGGGUGUUGAACAGGAAGGAUAAACUUGUAAAACUUUUUCUCAAUUUCAU